AGAGUUUGAUCAUGGCUCGAGGACGAACGCUGGCGGCGUGCUUAACACAUGCAAGUCGAGCGGAAAGGCCCUUCGGGGUACUCGAGCGGCGAACGGGUGAGUAACACGUGAGUAAUCUGCCCUUGGCUUUGGGAUAACUACCGGAAACGGUGGCUAAUACCGGAUACGACGCACUCAGGCAUCUGAUGUGUGUGGAAAGUUUUUCGGCCAGGGAUGUGCUCGCGGCCUAUCAGCUUGUUGGUGGGGUAAUAGCCUACCAAGGCUUCGACGGGUAGCCGGCCUGAGAGGGUGACCGGCCACACUGGGACUGAGACACGGCCCAGACUCCUACGGGAGGCAGCAGUGGGGAAUAUUGGACAAUGGGCGGAAGCCUGAUCCAGCAACGCCGCGUGAGGGAUGACGGCCUUCGGGUUGUAAACCUCUUUCAGUACCGACGAAGCGCCGAUGAUGGUGGUGACGGUAGGUACAGAAGAAGCACCGGCCAACUACGUG
rnacentral:rRNA from 1 species